CUAACGAAGUACUAGCAGUAUUAACAAGCGGCGAGCGCUCGAGCUGGGUGCGCGAGCGGUUGGCGGCGACGGCCGGCGGCCGGCGGCGAGGUCGAGCGAGGAGGCGGGCCGGCGAGGCGCGCGGUACUUUGUGCCUCGAAACGAGUGGGCCUUUAUUUUUUUUUUGGUUCUGUUUCGGCUCGUCGCGGAUUUCGCACGGUUUGCUUCGUUCUUGGUGAUUUUCUUGAAGCGUCGUCUUCUCCAAUCGAUCGCUUCCUGUAGCUUCUCCACCCUUCUUCUGUGGUGGAUACAGAUUUGUUCUUGGAAGCGGCUGGGAUUUCGGUUAACGAUGCCAUUGGUUUCUAUUCUAACAUAUGCUUUCUCUUGUCUCUUGUGUCUCUUGUGUGUUCAGAUUGGGCUUGUUGGUGUCGGAUUUGAUUGUGGUUUCGUGGCUGUGAUGACAAUCAAACCUCGUUUCUCGAUGCUGAGACUUGAUUUGUUCAAGGACCAGAACUGUGCUGACCUUAAUUUGUGCGUGUCUGAGCCACCCCAAACACACCAUGUCCGAAUCGAUUUCUGCGAAAGUUAGUAUGUCUGCACGAUGCCACUCGAUGCUACUACUAGUAUUUAGGUGUCUUUAUUAGCUUUUUCCUCUUCUAUGUUUAUUGGCUGUUUCUUGCAUUUGCGUUGUUGUAGUGUGGCUGUGAGGACUAACUACUUUGUUUCUCGAUGCUGACUUGAUUCAAUCAAUCAAGGACCAAAAAAAUUUGAUGACCUUUGUGCGUGUCUGAGCCACUGCAACUCAGUUUUUUCAGUCUUCGCUUGUGUGAAGAUAUCAUCUUGCCUUCCGUGUUUUGAGCCUGAACGAUAAAGAAGAGAUGUUUCUUGGUGCUGAUUCGACUCAUUUUAGGAUGGAAUUUUGACGAGGCUCAUGCGUGUCUGAAGUCUGAACCAUUGUAAAACUUGGAUGUAGUUGUUGUUUUAGGUGUCUGAAGUCUGAACCAUUGUAAAACUUGGACGUAGUUGUUGUUUUUUUUCCUAAAAAAAGAGAACUUUUUUCUCUCGUUUUUUCUCUGCUGUAUUUGAAUUUGUUCAUUUUUUCCAGCUGUUGUACACUUGUACUUCAUAUUGGGAUACUGAAUGUUAGGUGCGAUCAAUGUAGUAGUGCUUGCAUGUUUGACAAACUCAUGGACAUUAACUCAAGUUAUCUAAAACAUUGAGAUCCUUGGAAUAGUUAUGCUGGAACUAUUGCAUGGAAAUUUUACAACUCGCUAUAUGCUAGAAGCGAAUCCCCGUAGUUCAUUUUCCUCAAUCAGCCCAGUAGAUUUCUAGCUAAUGGUAUCUGAUAAGGGGCAAAUUGUUUUUUCAAGGAUACAGCUGAAUUCAUAAGAACUGAAAAUCGCAAUUAGCUGGUAUUACAUUGCAGAAGCUUGAGAACAGAAAGAAGGGAAUAACAUGCAUGGGUAACGCCAAUACUAAAGCUAUCCCAUGGUGAGCUCAUUAACGACUUGAUCUCCAUUUCCUGAAGAUUCACAUUGCAUGAUCCUCGAGGUUCAGUAACCAACCAUAUGGCCUUGCUUCUGGUUUCAUGAUUGAAUCGUCAGGAUUUUUGGAGUUUGUCAAGAUCUCACCUAGAGGUCCACCUUGAGGCAUCUCCCAAGAACUUGAGAUGCUAUCCUCUUGCAUUUGUGCCAUAUUAGGUGCAUGGCAGCUGACGCGUGGGUCCUCUGGCGAGGAAUAGAAAGUUGAUGGAACUGUCAUGACAUUGGAAUCUUUGCUUUUCUGAAACUCCAUUUUCUCGUCCUUAGGCAAGCUGAAAUUCUGAAGGACUGACUGAAGGCAUCCACGAUCAUGCAUCUUGGUGAAAGGAAUGCUUUUGUUGUUCUGCUGGUUGCUGCUCUCCCAAGGCUUCAACAUGGUAUUUGAAGAAAUCGAUUCACUGUCUCCUGCUGUAUUGAACUUCUCCGGUUUGUUCUGUUGCUUCAACUGAGAGAACAGGGACAAUGUUGGCUGUUGAUUCGUUAAAUUUAGCAGUGGGCCAUUGUUUUCUUCAGCAGCUUUGUUUCCUUUCUCUUUGUUCGCCAUUGUCCUGCAAAUGUGUACAGGUCUUCAAAUUAAAUGAUUAUUACUUUCUAUUAAAACUGAAAUAAUCUAGUUGUUUUCCUUUGUCCCUGACUAUAUUGCAGCAUUUGUAUUCCAUUCUUUAUAAGAGAUUUUUUUCCACCAGAACCACAACGAUUACCUUCUAUCAUGAAAAUGUACCAGAAAAUCUUAAACCAUCAAUAGGAUAUGCAAAAAUGGUGGAAAAAAAUACUGUGAUUCAGUCUGUAGCACUAAAAUACUUGCACGUUGAGAAUAUUAAACCAAGUUUAAGGAUGUAUUAACCUGUUCAAACUAUCUGUCCAAUAGCUGAUACUGCGUGGCUUCAUUUCAUUAACUUUUGCCUUCUUGAAGCUGCCCUGCCCGACAGAAGAUGGCAAUGAGCCAGCACACGGUGUCUCUUUCACAGUCUUUCUACUUUGGUUUUCCACAGGCUUUCUUGAACGGUGGCGGUUUCUGUUGAUGUGCCUCUCACAAUACUUGUGGUCGGCCAUGGCCUCCUUUGAACACCGCCAUUUCUUGCCAUCUGUUCGACGGCAUCUUCCAGGUUCUGGGUCAGAGUCUGCAUUUGGGAAGCCUUGAUAGAGAGGCCUCCAGCUCACUGCAGUACAAUAAGUGAACAGAAAAAAACACUGUCCAUCAUGAGUUGCAGAGAAAUACACAGAUCAAUGGCCUUACAUACAUACAUGCACACAUGAUCUUUGCUUCUAACCUAUUGCAAGUUAAUAACAUGGAAGUGUGUAUGUAUGUGGUGAUGAGCAAGGCCAGACCUGAUGGCAAUGUGUGAGCAGCCUUGGCGAAUCUGAGCAUCUUCUGUUCAUCAAGAAAGGGGGAAGGGUAUGAUGCAGCAGCAGCCUGGGUGAAGCUACCAGCAGCAGCUCUCUUGAUGAGGCUCAGAUCACCCUCCUUGGUGGAUGGCACUGUGAGUCCUUGCAAGCCCAACACCUCUCCAAGCUCCAUGGCAGCAGCAGAGAAGUCAGCAAACAUCUUGGAAGGACAGGAGGAGGGGAGAGGAGGAAGAAGAAGAAGAGGAGGGGGUGAGCAUUGCUGGGGACAGUCACAGUGAGGCUGAGGUUGAGAGUGAGGAGGGUGUAGUGUGUGCUUUCUAGUAGGAGGCAGGAAGUGUGUGGUGAUAUAUUAUGGGAUGGUGGCUCUUUGGGAGACUAGAGGUAGGGCUAGGUGGUGGCCCUUAAAUAGCAGGAGUCCUUUCAUUCUUUUAGUGGAGUAACUUUUUUUGCUGUCAUUUCUUUAUUUUAUUUUUAUUUUAUUGAUUUUUUGGGCUCAAUGUUUCUGUGAAGUGAUACUGCUGGGUACUGAUGGGGAGGAGUAAUUGGUUCAUAAAAAGGUAGUAGUAGCAGCA